AGAAUGCAAAAUCUGAAUUUGCGAGCAUAUUUUAUUAAGUAAUUAGAUUAUACAAUGUGGACUUGGAAAUUGAAUUAGGAGAAAACUUGCGAUUUGGACCUGUCAUCAGUUUUAACUACCUGAUUUAGCUCUAGGAGCCGUCAGAAAAUUGUACUGUCUCAGUUUCUUCGAGACGAGUACUCCAGGUAGUUUAGAAUGUAUUUACACUCGUGCUGGUUCGCCGAGUGGAUUUUUACAGGGUCGUUCAGGUUGUUCCGGACUGUUGGGUGCCGUCAGAGUUGACGGUGGACCCGUAUCGCCUUUUUGGCGUCAGACUGUGCCGAGGGCACGUUACCUGUUGGUUGUUAGGCCAGUUUGAGUCGAUUACUUGACUUUGGAUAGUUGGAGCCUGAUUGAGCUCGACAGAGAUACGCUGCAUACUCGGUUGGGUAGCGCCCACGAGUGCCACUCCGGAGUCAGGCUUGUGCUUUUGCGUUGGUGUCGCUCAUGCCAGUUGGACUUGCUCUCCACAGACCAGCUAGUGUGGAUAGAGCCUGAUAGUCGCAACGGGGCAGGGACGGGUGUGUUCACAGUCCCAGGGACGGGUAUGUUUACAGUCCCAAUUGGAUUGGGUCAGAUUUGACAUUUCCUACAGUCGGUUAAUGUAGAGCAUGAUAGUGUAGUGGAUGAUAGCGAUAGAGUGUACUUCCUGCUUUUCCUUCUAUCCUUGCUCCC
rnacentral:lncRNA from 1 species